UUUUGUUUUAUUUUUUUCUAGCCCCUCUCUUUUCAUUUUGCAAUACCUUUUCAAAACAGAUGGUGCUGAUAAUUGUGAGGUAACAGGGAAGGGAAGAUUUUUGUUUGGGAAUUGCAGGCAACUCCUCCUGUACUUAAUGCAAGGUUGAUAAAUCCUCAAUCAAAAUCUCCAAUCAGGCAGACUGCUACAUCCUUUGACGGAAACACUAUUUUGAGUUGCUGUGAGGAUGGGACAAUAUGGCGCUGGGAUUUAAUUACAAGCUCCUAACUCUAACUUGUCUCCGUGCAAUAUCAAUCUGAUGUGCGUCUCAAACAAGAGGGCAUUUUUGGUUUAUCACUUUAUAAUCAGUCAUGUACACACAUCAGGAACCUGGUUUAUUGCAUGUUUUUGGAUUUUGGUUAUGUAACUUAUGAUGAAAAAGGUUAAACUGAGGACUUGUAGUUA